UGCAGUCGAGCGAUUAAGCCCUUUCGGGGGUGUAUAAAGCGGCGGACGGGUGAGUAAGGCAUAGAUAAUCUGCCCCGAAGAGGGGGAUAGCCUGGGGAAACUUGGGUUAAUACCGCGUAAGCUGAUUCGGUGAAUACGAAUUAGUAAAGGCUUCGGCCGCUUUGGGAUGAGUCUAUGUAUGAUUAGCUAGUUGGAGAGGUAAAAGCUCCCCAAGGCUCCGAUCAUUAGCUGGUCUGAGAGGAUGAUCAGCCACACUGGAACUGAGACACGGUCCAGACUCCUACGGGAGGCAGCAGUGAGGAAUUUUGCGCAAUGGGGGAAACCCUGACGCAGCGACGCCGCGUGGAGGAUGAAGUCUUUCGAGAUGUAAACUUCUGUCAGUGGGGAUGAUAAUGACAGUACCCACAGAGGAAGCACCGGCUAACUCCGUGCCAGCAGCCGCGGUAAUACGGAGGGUGCAAGCGUUGUUCGGAAUUACUGGGCGUAAAGCGUACGUAGGCGGCGAGUUAAGUCGAAUGUUAAAGCCCGGGGCUCAACCCCGUGGAUGCCUUCGAUACUGGCUUGCUAGAGGGUGAUAGAGGAAAGUGGAAUUCCGAGUGUAGCGGUGAAAUGCGUAGAUAUUCGGAGG
rnacentral:rRNA from 1 species